AUUGAACGCUGGCGGCAGGCCUAACACAUGCAAGUCGAGCGGAUGAGGGAAGCUUGCUUCCUGAUUUAGCGGCGGACGGGUGAGUAAUGCCUAGGAAUCUGCCUAUUAGUGGGGGAUAACGUUCCGAAAGGAAGGCUAAUACCGCAUACGUCCUACGGGAGAAAGUGGGGGAUCUUCGGACCUCACGCUAAUAGAUGAGCCUAGGUCGGAUUAGCUAGUUGGUGAGGUAACGGCGCACCAAGGCGACGAUCCGUAGCUGGUCUGAGAGGAUGAUCAGCCACACUGGAACUGAGACACGGUCCAGACUCCUACGGGAGGCAGCAGUGGGGAAUAUUGGACAAUGGGCGAAAGCCUGAUCCAGCCAUGCCGCGUGUGUGAAGAAGGUCUUCGGAUUGUAAAGCACUUUAAGUUGGGAGGAAGGGUUGUAAGCUAAUAUCUUGCAGCUUUGACGUUACCAACAGAAUAAGCACCGGCUAACUCUGUGCCAGCCGCCGCCGUAACAC
rnacentral:rRNA from 1 species